GCCCCAAAUCCACUCUCUCCCAGCGGCGGCCCGUCCCCGCAGCCUCCCCCCCCCCCCCCCCCGACAGCCAGAGACGUGCGAGCAGGUAGCGGGUUUAUUCUCCAAUAUUCGUUACAAGGAGCCGGCGGGGGACCGGGGCAGGUGGGGAACCAUCCCCGACAUCAAACGGUGCAGUUUCCCUCGCCGUAGCGCCGGCACUUCAUCACCUUCAGUGGGCAAAGCUCUAACUCAGACCCAAGCCACAUGCAUCUGGAGCUGAGAGAUCUGCAGCCUGCCACUCCUCCUGCCCUGCUUUGCUGACCAGCUGGCACAGUAAACAGUGUCAUAAAUGGGUGAAGCGUGAUUAUUUGUCUAGUUUCUGUGUACUGCUUCCCAAUGCCCAAGCACAUAUCAAAUGGAGAGCAAAAUCUGGAAGUGGUGCUGAUACAUACGCCUACUUAUACCAGCUAAAGUGCCAGGACAGAAGAUGUCCGUUUACUCUCAGGGCCUGACUUUCAGAGUUAUUUAGAUGCUAGAUGUAAAUAAUUGUCCAGGCUCAUUUCUCACAGAUACGGGUCUCAGAGCUCUGGCUACAUGGUGAUGCUGGCAGAUAAACUUAGUUAUAGAGCAAGCAUAACUGAAAAGGUGUCCUGGCAGAUAAGCAAUUUCAUUUAAAACAACAAAGCAAAAAUUAAGAGUGACCCUUGAAGAAGAUCACUCUCCAGCUCUCAGCUGUCUGGGUGCUGCAAGAGAGAAACAUCAGAGCAUAGGCUUCCAUCUGUACACAGACUUAUACAGGUUGCUUUUAUAAAAUGUCAUGAGUCCUUAAAGCCAGGUUGCAAACCUUGCAAAAUUUACUCCACUUUAAAGUAUUUUGCAUGGAGAUGCAGCAAACAUUAUACUGCUGUUUGUACAGCAGAUUUAAGCAACUGAGUAUUCUUUGGUGCUGGAUUUGGAGAGAGUUUGGGUCUGUACUGCUAUCUGAGUGGUUAUGGCAGUGCUGUUAACAUUUGUUAUGUGUUUUCUUAUACUGCCCAGUGAUGAAACGUGUACAAUGGGGUGUCAUGAUCUCAUUAUCUUAAGGUAAGCAAAGUCUAAAGGAUGCCACUGGUCUUCAGAGUGGAGGUGGGGAGAUUUCUCAUGGUCUUUGGAUCCCACGGAAGACCCUGAGAGCUGAGUGCCCUGUAUCUAGGGGUUCUCUUAUUCUGUAGCCGUACUACAUGCUGCAACUUACCCUCAUCAGAGCUUGGAUCCCUUCUUCCAGGUCCUUUAGUUUUUCAUACACUCUGUCUGAGGUGCCAAAAACCAGAUUGUUUGUGAACACCUUGCUUAGGUAUUGCACCGGGGUCAGCCAGGACUGGAUGAGAACCAGUGAAAACCGAAGGAGCUCCAUAUCCUGAAAUUAAGAAAGGGUCAAAGCUGUGCAGGUGAGGUAUUUGGUAGAGUUACCUGUGUGCCCUGCUCCCUCUGAAACAGCCUGGAGGUGACCCAGAGAUGUGCCACUGCUCCUGCGGCUUCAGCAGAUACAAAUGAGUUUGCAAGCUGAGGAGCACCACCCAGCCAUUUGUCCUGUGCAGACAAUAGUUUUUUCUCAUCCUUAGAAUGGGAAUAUGAUUCAUAGUAUAACCCAGAAGAAUCUUUGUUCAUGCAGGGCUUAAAGAGUAAAAAAGGGAGAGGAGGAAUGAAGCACUGAAAUGCUCACAGAUGGAAGCUCUCUGUUCCUGUAAUGAAGUACAGCUGGGCUCUUUAAACAGGUCUGUGCUUGCCCCAGGGGAGGGAACUUACCGAUUUCUGCUGGGCAUCAUCCUUCCCCGUGGGAGCAGGGAUGGUUUCAGAGUAACAAAAUGCUGCCUGGGAAUUUUUGUUGGCAUGUCUUUGGUCCUCUGGAAUAUAGGUGCGUUCCUGUGGAGACAUCCCAAAUGCACUCAGGUCUGUUGCCCAUGUACUGGGAGAAGACCACAGACACUUUCCCAGGCUGUCCUGAAUGGUUACUCUUUGCAAGAAAUACAUGAGACAUGAGGUGUCCCUGUAAAGGGUUGGCAGGUAGGAAGCAGGAGUUUGUAUGUUGGCACAAUAGCUGCUGGACCUAAAGGUCUUCCUUUCACUAAGCCAAGGUGCUAAGGUGAAUGCAAAACACACUUGGACUGGGUUCUCCCAAGGAGUAGAUGAGCCCCAAGGACAGCUCUUGCCAAAGUGACAGCUCAUGCCAGCUCCUGGCAACAGCAGAGACUGGAUAGUUUUAAGCAUUCAGAAUCAGCCAGGGCCAAAGGUGACCGACACAGGAAAGUCUUGCAAAAUAUCGUGCCAUCUCCCACUGCUUUCAGAGCCAACUUUCUCUUUGAGACAGCUGACCCUGUGCAGUAGGUUUGGAUGUGGGCAGCAAUGGCCCUGAGGAGGGGACUGUGCAGGAUCAGAUGUGGGGGCAGAGAGCUGAGGGAGGGGGCAGGGUCCAGGCUGAUGGGACAUGACCUGUCCUGUCCUAUUAAGACCCUUUCAUCUCAUCAAGAGCUGACAGAGGAGACACCAAUAGUUGAAAAGUCUCUGUUUCUAGGAAGUUAUACAGUCCUGAAACCAUCAGGCUAAUGUGGAGGAGAUGCCCAGAGGCCACGACACUUACGAACUCUUUGUAUGUCUCCGCAGCCAGGAGGUGAAGGUGCUGAGCCCUCAGCACAGCAUUGGCAAACAGGUUGGAAAGAGGCAUGGCUGGGAAGGUGGCAGCUUCCUGUGGCCACUGCAGUCCCAGGGUGAUCACAGCAAUGAAGAGAGGAGAAAACCAUGACCCUGCAGCAAAACGGAGAGGAAAGGUGUUAGCAGUCCUUUAGUGACUGCUGAGGAGGGAGGUGGCACCUGGGAAUUAAUUAGUUCCCAGCCUCUUCUGUCAGUGCUGGCUAAGGGGUCACCUUCCUUAAUGUCUUCUUGGACUCUGUGAGUGAGCUUAGCCCUCCCCCAAAUCAAAUGAAACCCUGUCCCCUUUCACUAGACGUGCCCUCAGGGCUUGUACUGCUCCCAGUGUUAUAAGCAGCGUCUUUGUAGCUGAAGAGUCAUUGUUGCCCCGUGAAAACUAGAGUGUGUCCCUAUGUUUUUCCCUAACAUGCUCGUGUUUUUCCGUAGGCCUUGCCCUCAUGAGAAGAGCACAGUGCACUCUUCAUUGUGUGACCAAGCAGGGGAUGGCGAGUACCAGGCGAGGGCCUGGGAUUACCUCACUUUAGCCUUGGUUUACACCAUGCUGCUGACGUGAAACUGGCUGUCUGCCUUCACUAGGACAAGAGCUGAUGGCAUUACCUGUGCUGUGACCAGCUAUUUUUGCUCUCUGGGGCAUACCUGUAGAAUCUGGUGAUCUUUGUCAAGCGUAAAGGUUUUCAACGUUCAACAUCUAACUCACACAAUGUCCAUCUGUGCUUACAGAGACCACAAAGUUAAUCUCAGACAAAUACCCUUCAGUGGAGGAAUGCCUUGGAGCCUGUAGGACUUGGACAUACGCAUUAGACAUCACCCUGAUAACCGUCGUAAGCUUUGAAUAUGAGUUUUAAUAUCCCUGCCAACAUUUAUGUUAAUAAUAACUAUUAUAACUGUGGCUUGACCUUGUUCUUCAUGUUCUCCACCCUCUCCUUGCCCAGCUGAGGCUAAAGACUACGUAAGUUAAUUCAUGGAUUAAAGUCACGCUGUAAGGAGAGGUAUUUCUUCUUCAUUGAUUUAUAAGUUGACACGUUUUAAUUUAGGGCUGGCACUGAGUGUGUAUAGCCCACCACAGUACUGCCCCGUCAUCAUCUCCCAUCACCCUAAGCAUGCACAGCCCUGGCAAUCCUUUAAAACUGAAAUAAAGAAAAGUACCUGGAGCCAUUUCUGCCUGGUGAGUUGCUCAGGUGUUGCUUGACAAUGAAUGUUUCCUCCUUUCAUCUAGGCUGGUAAAGGUAACUGUUGAGCCACCCCUUAUAUAGCAGGGUGUCUGUUUAAAAUGUAUAUAUGUGUUCAUGAUCACAACAACAUCUCUGUAUCUUCUCUGUGCAUAAAUGCACAAGUGUUCGCAAUGGUGCUACCUAAUUGUAGUCAUUUAUACAUAGAUGUAAAGGUUGGGGAGGUUGUUUGCCUAGGGAUGAAACCAGUGCUGAAUGAUUUCGCCAUAUUCUGCUGUUUAUUGCAAAUAAAAUUUUCUUGAUCAUUGGAAGACCCAUCCUAAAUCAGAUCAGUGCUUUUACAUGGUGGAACUUCCCAUGUCCACCUGAUUUUUCUGCCUGGCUCUGAGCCUUGGCCCACAGUUAACUGGGCUGACUGGCCAGUUUGGUAGACUUCUGACUUAAAGCAAGUGAGAUGUUUUCCCCUUUAUUGUUAGCGGGGAUAGAGCUGGAUGGAUAUUGUCAGAUGAAUCCUAUUUCAGCCAAGUAAUUUCUACCAAAAUUUCAGAAGUUCAGCAAUAGUUUUGGUGAGCUGGAUUGCCAUAGGUAUGACAAAGAGCUGUCAUACCCAGGUCCUUGUUCAGGUACCAGCCUGCCCGCUGCAAAUCCAGAUGCCAGAGCUCUGGGAGGUUUCUCACAAUCUCAGCUGGACAAGGCUAUGAGAAGAUCUGGUUAUGAGCGUCUUCCUGCUCUUGCCUGAGAUGCAAACGUGAAAUAUCUGGAUUAAGGAGAGGGCUGGUGUGGAAAGGAGGAAGAGGAGAUGGGGAAGAGGAGAGGUCACAGCACAUCUAUCCCUGCUUUUGAGCAAAACAAGACAGAACCUCGGAUGCCCAGCUCCGGGGGAGCUUAAAGGACUUUUACUCCCCAUAAGGCACCAAUUGCCCCAAACCUCCCUGUUUUGGCCCUUUGUCUGGGGAUCAAGGACUGCUUCCUGGUUAGGGGUGGUGAUUUGGCUCCCCUGGGCCCUGGGUUUGCUGUGCCCCCCUGGCAUGGGUUCGAUUUCCAAGAGGCAGCAUCCUCACCGGGGCGGCUGGAGCAGAGGGUGCGAGAGCUCAUUAAUAAACAAAGUGGGGAGAGCGCGGUUUGUUCCGAGAAGCCCCUGGGUGUUUGCUCACUGGAGAUGUGGUGGUGUCGCAAAGUAAAUGUCAGUCCCUAGAGGAGAGGGAACAGUGGGUCCUGCAGCUAUCAGGUAUCCCGUCACCCAAUAGCCAGCAACAUCUGGGUGUGUUUUUCUACUCCAGAUUGUGUUUAAAUACUUCAAUAUUUGUCAGAGAUGAGCAGAACAGCGGGCACCCCAGCCCAGCACAGGCUCUGCUGCCUGUUAAUGAUGAUGCUCGACCACAGCAGCUAAAUUGGUACAGCAUCUUGCACCCGAGUCCUGCCCAUCUGCCUCUCCAGGUCUGUAAGUAAAAACAUGGUGCAAAAUCAACAUUUUUUAUGUUGCAGCCAAGCACAGAGAUGCCAGGAUGAUCCAGACUGUGCGGUGCCCCUGAGGCUUGGUUUGUCGCCGAUCAUCUCUGGGCAUUAAAUGAGGCAGAAGCUUCGUGGAGAAGGCAGUGCGUGACUGUGAAAUGCUGGGCUGGGCAAACACAUGCCACUGGCAGAAUUAUGUUGCAUAAGCAGCUCUCAAAUACCAGCUUGGCAUUUUCUGGCUUUCAAAUGCCUGCAUUUGCGACCCAAAGUAGCAUCUCGUAAAGCAGCAUGACACUGUAAUUUCCAAGUUUCUUUUCUUUUUUCAAAGAGAAAACCCCCUCAGUUCUUUUCAGGGUGGUCCCAUGUCUACCCGCCUUGCCCUGAGCAUCACCAGCAGCAUCUGAACAAGUGAAGCAACUUUCCUUGCAGGUGUGUGUACUCCUUGGGUCCUCCUGACCCCCCCAGCCUGGGGUGGUUGUGUGGAGAGGACCUUCCCAGGCUGAUGGAUGCGCUGCAACCAGUGAAUCCUGACUGAGGAGCCAGCUGCUGGCCCACAGCCCAGGCUCUGCACUUCAGUGGGCAACGACAUGGUUGACAGAGGUUUUAAGUGAUGGUUGACUACCUCUGCUAGCUCACGACUCAGAAGGGUGUUCCUGCUCUGGAUCUGCUGGAUGCUACUGUGACCUGGGGGCAGCAGCACAGGGAGAGCCCCAAGUCCCACCUCUGUGCCAGGCUCCCGGGGAACAGGGACGAGCUCGG